GUGAGGAAUAUUGCGCAAUGGAGGCAACUCUGACGCAGCCAUGCCGCGUGCAGGAAGAAGGCGCUACGCGUUGUAAACUGCUUUUAACCGGGAAGAAACCCCAGGACGUGUCCUGGGUUGACGGUACCGGAGGAAUAAGCACCGGCUAACUUCGUGCCAGCAGCCGCGGUAAUACGAAGGGUACAAGCGUUAUCCGGAUUCAUUGGGUUUAAAGGGUGCGUAGGCGGAGCGUUAAGUCAGUGGUGAAUUCCUGCAGCUUAACUGUAGACUUGCCAUUGAUACUGGCGCUCUUGAGUGCGCUUGAAGUGGGCGGAAUGUGCCGUGUAGCGGUGAAAUGCUUAGAUAUGGCACAGAACACCAAUUGCGAAGGCAGCUCACUAAGGCGAUACUGACGCUGAGGCACGAAAGCGUGGGGAUCGAACAGGAUUAGAUACCCGUGUAGUCC
rnacentral:rRNA from 1 species